GUCUACGACCAUGCUACCCUGAACAAGCCUGAUCCCAUCUGAUCUCAGAAGCUAAGCAGAGUUGGGCCUGGUUAGUACUUGGAUGGGAGACCAUCUAAGAAGACCAGGUGCUGCAGAAG
rnacentral:rRNA from 1 species